rnacentral:rRNA from 1 species
GAUGAACGCUGGCGGCGUGCCUAAUACAUGCAAGUCGAGCGAACGGACGAGAAGCUUGCUUCUCUGAUGUUAGCGGCGGGCGGGUGAGUAACACGUGGAUAACCUACCUAUAAGACUGGGAUAACUUCGGGAAACCGGAGCUAAUACCGGAUAAUAUUUUGAACCGCAUGGUUCAAAAGUGAAAGACGGUCUUGCUGUCACUUAUAGAUGGAUCCGCGCUGCAUUAGCUAGUUGGUAAGGUAGCGGCUUACCAAGGCAACGAUGCAUAGCCGACCUGAGAGGGUGAUCGGCCACACUGGAACUGAGACACGGUCCAGACUCCUACGGGAGGCAGCAGUAGGGAAUCUUCCGCAAUGGGCGAAAGCCUGACGGAGCAACGCCGCGUGAGUGAUGAAGGUCUUCGGAUCGUAAAACUCUGUUAUUAGGGAAGAACAUAUGUGUAAGUAACUGUGCACAUCUUGACGGUACCUAAUCAGAAAGCCACGGCUAACUACGUG